rnacentral:rRNA from 1 species
GUCUACAGCUAUGCCACCCUGAACAUACCCGAUCUCAUCUGAUCUCAGAAGCUAAGCAGGGUCGGGCCUGGUUAGUACUUGGAUGGGAGACUACCUAAGAAGACCAGGUGCUGUAGGUG